GUCAUUGAAUGGAAAGAGUAAAAAGUUGACUUUUAAUCAGUAGGUCCUGGGUUCGAGUCCCAGUGCGCUCACCA
rnacentral:tRNA from 1 species